UCUGCUCCAAAUUACAGUGAAAACAUGUAUACAUUUAAUUAUAAGGGGUUUUUUUUGCUUGGGGGGUAUAUUUAAAUCAGCUUGCAAAACCUAUAGAUCUCUUGUCUUUGCAAGCCCUCCCUUUCUAACCCCGCCCAGACUUUCUGUGGCUGUCCAAUCACAGACUUCCCAAUACAGCUCAAUGAGACGUCUUUGCAAGGCACGUGCUCUGAGCAAUUGCUGCCUCUUGAGUUUAUCUUCCCCAAGAUAAACAACCAGGAAGUAACAGGACCGGUUGUCUACUUGACAGCCAGGGGGUGUAACAAGGUUCAUUUAUAAAAUAACAAUUUAUCUUGAAUUGUUUUACUUUUUGUAAAAUUUAUAAAAGGGGACACUUUCUAAAGCAAACUAAUGUGCUUUAGUGGUCUGGAGUGUCCCUUUAACCCCUUAAGGACCAAAUUUCUG